AUGAAGAAAAACUAGAUACUUGUAUUACACCUGAGACUGUGUCUGGUAAGGAUGUAGUAACAGUUUCCUCAGUUGAAAUAGAGAAAGAAACAAGAUUGGUAGAUGAUGUUACUACUAUGCCUGAGGAACAACUAGUUCAAAGUAUUACACAUGAGACUGUGUCUGGCAAGGAUGUAGUAACAGUUUCUCUAGUUGAAGGAGAGAAAGAAACAAGAUUGGUAGAUGAUGUUACUACUAGGCCUGUGGAACAGCUAGAUGGACAUGUUCCACAUGAGACUGAGUCUGGCAAGGAUGUAGUAACAGUUUCUUUAGUUGAAAUAGAGAAAGAAACAAGAUUGGUCGAUGAUGUUACUACUGU